UCGGCUGCUUUGUUGAGCCGUC
rnacentral:sRNA from 1 species